AUUGAACGCUGGCGGCAGGCUUAACACAUGCAAGUCGAACGAGUGGCGGACGGGUGAGUAAUGCUUGGGAAUCUAGCUUAUGGAGGGGGAUAACUACGGUAAACUGUAGCUAAUACCGCGUACCAUAGUAUGAGCCCAUGUGGGUGUAGGUAUUUGGUGGGGUAAAGGCUAACCAAGCCGACGAUCUCUAGCUGGUCUGAGAGGAGGACCGGCCACACUGGGACUGAGACACGGCCCAGACUCCUACGGGAGGCAGCAGUGGGGAAUAUUGCGCAAUGGGGGCAACCUGACGCAGCCAUGCCGCGUGAAUGAAGAAGGCCUUCGGGUUGUAAAGUUCUUUCGGUAGCGAGGCGUUACCUACAGAAGAAGCACCGGCUAACUCCGUGCCAGCAGCCGCGGUAAUUC
rnacentral:rRNA from 1 species